UACGGAGGAGGCAAGCGUUAUCCGGAAUUAUUGGGCGUAAAGCGUCCGCAGGUGGCUAUUCAAGUCUGCGGUCAAAGACUGGGGCUCAACCCUGGAAAGGCCGUGGAAACUGAAGAGCUAGAGUGCAGUAGGGGUAGAGGGAAUUCCCGGUGUAGCGGUGAAAUGCGUAGAGCUCGGGAAGAACAUCGGUGGCGAAAGCGCUCUGCUGGACUGCAACUGACACUCAGGGACGAAAGCUAGGGGAGCGAAUGGG
rnacentral:rRNA from 1 species